ACGAACGCUGGCGGCAUGCCUCACACAUGCAAGUCGAACGAGACCUUCGGGUCUAGUGGCGCACGGGUGCGUAACGCGUGGGAACCUGCCCUUAGGUUCGGAAUAACUCCCCGAAAGGGGUGCUAAUACCGGAUAAUGUCUUCGGACCAAAGAUUUAUCGCCUUUGGAUGGGCCCGCGUUGGAUUAGCUAGUUGGUAGGGUAAAAGCCUACCAAGGCGACGAUCCAUAGCUGGUCUGAGAGGAUGAUCAGCCACACUGGGACUGAGACACGGCCCAGACUCCUACGGGAGGCAGCAGUGGGGAAUAUUGGACAAUGGGCGAAAGCCUGAUCCAGCAAUGCCGCGUGAGUGAUGAAGGCCUUAGGGUUGUAAAGCUCUUUUACCCGGGAUGAUAAUGACAGUACCGGGAGAAUAAGCUCCGGCCAACUCCGUG
rnacentral:rRNA from 1 species